rnacentral:rRNA from 1 species
UGUACGGAACCCUUUAGAGAUAGAGGGUGCUCGAAAGAGGGCCGUAACACAGGUGCUGCAUGGCUGUCGUCAGCUCGUGUCGUGAGAUGUUGGGUUAAGUCCCGCAACGAGCGCAACCCUUGUCAUUAGUUGCUACAUUCAGUUGGGCACUCUAAUGAGACUGCCGGUGACAAGCCGGAGGAAGUGGGGAUGACGUCAAGUCCUCAUGGCCCUUAUAGGUGGGGCUACACACGUCAUACAAUGGCUGGUACAAAGGGUUGCCAACCCGCGAGGGGGAGCCAAUCCCAUAAAGCCAGUCGUAGUCCGGAUCGUAGUCUGCAACUCGACUACGUGAAGUCGGAAUCGCUAGUAAUCGUGGAUCAGAAUGUCACGGUCGAAUACGUUCCCGGGCCUU